rnacentral:lncRNA from 1 species
CACAAUAACCACAGACACACUUAUGUGAAAACCUCAUGAACACAAUGUUAGAUUAUUUGAUUUUAGAGUUAGCAGUGAAAAGAAAUGACACCCAAAAACAGGAAGUCAAAGCAGAACUAGAGAAAUUAUAAAGAAACUAAAGUGAUUGAUGGUUAUAAUACUACAAGUUAUAAAAGGAAAAAUUUUUCCAUACACAUAAUACACUGACUUCACAUAAAAAUAACCCUGGAUAUUUGUAGCUAUCCUCUUCAAUUCAGUCCAAAAAGAUCAAAUAUUCUAUGACAAUGCUUUUUCUUGAAUCAUUUGAAUCCCACUUCAGCUUAAUAUAUGUACAAACUGCACAUACCAAGAUAAAGAUCAACAAGUGAAGUUGAUAGGAAUGAAAUUGCUCCUGAUGGCAUCACCAGAACUUCACCUUCUAAUGACUAUUUCAGGUACAGGAUUGUCAUCUUUAAAUGUGGAAAGCAUAUUCUUGAAUCAUGUCUGCAUUAGCUACAAACCUUCAUCACCUUAUGAAUCUGUCUGAUAAUGUAUAAAAAUCCAGAAAGGAAGAAAUAGUUAUUAUUAUAGAACUAUUUCUCUUAAUAUUAGAAAUAGUUUAUUAUAGGCAUCUAAUACUAUUCAUUUUAUGUAAUGAUUCAAAAUGUGAUUUAAAAGAAAACGACUACAUAACAAUAACUUGAUCCUUCUAUUUUGAAAGCUUAUAUACCUCAUGCAUGCUGAUUCCUUUUAUUAUUCCUAUAUGAAUCUUGCAGCACAACAACUGACUCUGAUCAUAAAGAAUUGACAAAGACAGGAACACCAUUUUAUAACUCUUUUCUUUCCCCAAAUUAAGCUAUUAUUUUGUUUUUUCUCUGUGCAAACCAGCAAAAAUAAAAUUAUAGAGAGGGAUAGAGAAACAUACCAACAAAAACAGAAGCUUUUCACUAUGAAGUGCCACUCCAACUUUGUCCAUCAUGUCUUCCUUUUCUAUCUUGUUCAUUCUAGUGUAGAUACUAACAUGAAGCCAAACUCAGUAAACACAGCUUCUCGUAACUAAUUUCAAACUCACUACUUCAAAAGUCAUCUAAACGCAUGAAUUUAGUUGGAUGACCAUGUAAAUCAAACUCUUUGUUUAAUACAUCUAAAAAUAUUCUUAAAUGUUGGAUACACAAAAAAGAUAUUCACUGUCUUUCAAUUUUUUGUUUCAUGUUAAUUCUUAUCUUCUUUUGUAAAGGUGAUUUUACUGAAAAAUAUGACGGUUAAUAAGUACUACAGAUAGCAAUGAGCCAAUGACUUUGUCAGAGAAACAAAAGAUAUUUCUUGAACUACAACUGCAAGAUGAGAGCUUCCCUAAUAAAUUGUCACGACCCAAAAUGAACCAUGACCGGCGCUCAGGAAAACAGUUCCCUAGCAAGCCUAUCAGACUCAAAUACAAAUAAGAAAGUUACAAAUAUUUUAAAGAAAUUUACAGUUCCUAAAACGAAUAAUUUCAUAUUUUUAUUAAAAGGUAAAAUAAAUAGAUAUAGAUGGAUCCUGCUUGUGACAUAUGGAGCAUAUGACGUCUAAGAACUCAACAAAAAUGAAGUACCAAUUGCAGAUCAUUACUCUUGAAUAGAAGGCUCACACAUUCAAGUAUUUGUUCCUGAAAAAUAUUUUUAGAAAAACGGAAUGAGUUUUGCAACCCAGUGACUAGACAAUACAUCUAUAAUCCACAUGAGACCAUAUAAACAUUAUUAUAAAAAUAAUCUUAGUUAGAAAAUAAUAAUUUAUAUGAAUAUGUGAAUCAAUAAGGGAGUUCUCAUACAGAAAUCAAAUCAAAUAGUCCACACUUGGGCGGCUCUACCUCUAAGGGUAGCCCUUUCCUCUAGCGUGUCCGUACGGAAUAACAGAUCCAACGUGUGGCCUACACGUUAGGCUAGCAACGCCCCUGCUAGCUGAGGUCUGAGCCAGAUGCAUCUAGGUUAACGUCAUAACCGCCGUUAACUACGGUUUUCUAAUACGAGCCUCCCAAACCAAUUCAAA